UCCAUGAGGAUGGGGUGAAAAAAAAAGUGAAAACCAGCAAAGGGAGGAUCCACAUUAAGGGGAAAUCCAACCAAAUGGGACAUUAGGACAAACCAAAAACCAGAAGUAGAUCAAGAUGACAGGGAAUACAAAUCAUACGCAGUGGUUUUAAAAAACAAAGCUUUAAGAGUUUAGGUGACUUUUUGGUCAUUGACGAUGGUUUAGAAGGCCCAGGGUUUUGAGUUUUUCACCUUCUGACUGUGGCAGUGGAAAUUCUGUCCCUGUCAAGAUAGGACUGUAAGCCCGUGAGAGUGAGGAGCCUCGUGUGAAAUGACAUCCAGCUGGGUGCCGACAGGUGUCAGGCUGGGUCUUGUUACUACAUGAAAUGAGGAGGGAGCCCCUGUUCUGAGGUCAAAAAGCUACCAAGAGGGAGCCCAGAAAUGGAUCCACCCAGAGCCUGCAGAGAAAACCUCUGUGGGUGCUUGAGGGCUGAGCCCGAGGCAAGCCCUAGGAAGACCUCAAAGAAAACAUCUGAACUUCAGUGACUCCAGCAGGUGCUCCCGUGCUCCAGGUGCCUAUAAACCAAUGUUCUUAACAGCUUUGCUCAUAAUAGUAAAAAGAUGGCAAUAACCCAAUGUCCAAUGAGGACACCAACAAAAUGUGGUAUAUCCAUACAGUGGAAUAUUAUUCAGCCAUAAAAGGAAAGAAGUUCUGAUAUAUGCCCCAACAUGGAUGAACCUUACAAACAUUGGCUAAGCAAAAGAAGCCAGACACAAAGAGCUAUACACUGUAUGAUCACAUUUAUUUUAAAAAAUCUAAAAUGGACAAGACCAUUUAUAUAUAUGCGCCGUGGGACAGUGUCUCUUUCCAUAGUUAAAACAAGCCAUCUUCGUUAGUUCUACAGAUGACACUUGCCCUGCCCAGGCAGUGGGGGUCUAUGAUUCUGUGUCCACCCUACACUCCACCCAGGUGGGAGCGUGUCCUGCUGCCAGCUCUUACCAUCCACCAGUAUCCACUACCCCUCUCUGCCUCUUGAAAUCCUAGGCCCCUCCAAUGCACUCAGGCCAGGACUGCUUUCCAUCCACAAGAAGUCUCCUGUGUACACUUAGACUUUCUGCCUGCCCUCCUGCUGCAGCCCCCAGCCUGCCCCCUAUAGGAGGACGGGACAUGCGCACAGGCAUGGCUGUCAACAGCGACCGUGCAUACACCAGUGGCCUAAAAUUCUCAUGGAGCUCAGGGGUGCUCAAUGACCUCAUAGCCCCCAGAAAUCCAGAAAGCAAGCCGCCAGUCACACGCUGUGGUAUGCAGCCUCGAACAAGCCUACCGUGCCACCAGUCCUGAGCGUGGUACAUAUCAUUACACAUGUGAAUGUUUGGUCAUGAUGAUAAACAACUGUGUUCCUGGGUUAUGCAUCCACUACACUAUGCUUUUUACUGAUCUUUUAGAAUAUAGUCCUUCAAUUCAUUAAAACAAAACUUACCAUAAUCUGUGCCACAGGACACCAGCAGCAGCUUCAUGCAUCUCUCGUUUACUGUAGCACUUGGUGGCAUCAGGAGGCCACACCUGGUGACAGACUUAUACCAUCUAGGUUUGUGUUAAGUGUAUCCCGUGAAUUUGCACACAUAAAAUAAAAUGCUUAUUGAGAAUUUUUUAUGCCUCAACCAUAGUAGCCACUCAAUAAAUAGUGUUCAAAUGAAGAAUAGAAGGAAGGAGAAAUCCUGCAUCUUCCCACCAUGGAGGGUAUCCAUGUUAGUUUUGUGGUUUCUAUCCUCUAGUCUUUUUCUGGGACAAUUUCGAGUGUUCUGCUGUCUUACAGCUGCUGGGUUUGCUUGGCAACAUUUUCCAGGUCACUAGCUAUGGCAAGGUCCUCCCUGGGUCAGCUGGGUCAGGUCUAGCUGCAUCUUGAAUGCUGGUCCCAGGCAUCCCAGCCUCGGGGAUGAGGACAGAGAAUCCCGGGUUAGGCUCCUCUCUACAGAACUGGCUCUAUACUGCAUUAACACCUUGCUACCCCUCCCCAAAAAUAUGAAGCUGACAGAAGAAAAUCCACAAUCCCAGCCCAGGGGAGCAGAAGUCAGGCUCUGAAUACAGGACCUCAAAGGUGGGUGUAACCUCUCACCUGUCAUGCUCUACCUGUUGGGUGACCUAGCUUUCUUUUUUUAAGCUCCACAAGUUCCUUUAAGCUCUUGGCAAUGGGAGGAGUUGAUGGCAGCUUGAUUGGACUUCUGACAACCACGAGGAAAGAAAAAGAAGAAGCCCUACUCUUGAGUC
rnacentral:lncRNA from 1 species